UACGGAGGGGGCGAGCGUUAUUCGGAAUUAUUGGGCGUAAAGAGCUCGUAGGCGGCUUCUCAAGUCAGGGGUGAAAUCCUGGAGCUCAACUCCAGAACUGCCUUUGAUACUGAGGGGCUCGAGUCCGGGAGAGGUGAGUGGAACUGCGAGUGUAGAGGUGAAAUUCGUAGAUAUUCGCAAGAACACCAGUGGCGAAGGCGGCUCACUGGCCCGGUACUGACGCUGAGGUGCGAAAGCGUGGGGAGCAAACAGG
rnacentral:rRNA from 1 species